UUAAAAGUAGUUUAGAAAAAUAUUAAUUUGUGGUAUUAAAGACGAAGAAAAAAUUUUAACAUUUGUUUUCCUUUUAAA
rnacentral:tRNA from 1 species